rnacentral:scRNA from 1 species
CUGGAGUUGGAGAGCAACGAACGCCUCGCCCA